rnacentral:misc_RNA from 1 species
UCGAGAAUCGAUUGAGAGACUGUGAACCUGUAAACGGAUAAUACCGUGUCGGGCGGGCGUUAUGCCCGCCCAACUCGGGACCUCACAUCGUGUCUGUGGCCGCCUCCGAGCGUUUCGGGCACGAUUUGUGGGGACGAACGAAACCCCGGCACGGCCUGUGCCAAGGAACAUAUGUCAGGACGGACGUGCGUCAAUGCCUCAGUGGUGGGGCGACGUUCGCUCUCUAUU